AGUAAAAUUUUAAACCAAAUCCAAGACAGGAUGAGCACCCUCUUUGGAUUCUGACCUUGUGGGCUGUGCUCCACUGUACGAAGAAUAAGGCCUUAUGGGUUGCAAUCAAAGAAGGCAAUCCAUCAAGAAACUCCAACGAAAUGACGAAAACAUAAAGCCGGCAAGCAAUGAAAAUUUACAGAUUGAUUUGAUCCAAAAUCCAUUCGAUGUGUUCCGGAGAAGGGAGAGCUCACUGGAGCGUAUUUGAGGGAGUGAGAAGCAUGGCCUCAUCAACCCCAGAAACUCUCAUGGCUGAAAUCGACACUGCUAUCAGCAAAUUGGAAUACAGCCGCGCCACUGCACUUCUAGACUCUCCCUCACCAACACCCACCAACACAUCAAAGACUAGCAUGAGCUCCGAUUCAGGUGCCAAUCCUCAAUACGAUGCGAAAAUGGCAGAUGGGGCUUACAGGGCAGGUUGUGCAUCCUUGGCUGCAGGGAAACUUGAUGAGGCUCUUCAAUAUUUGAACGUCUCUCUCUCGAAAUGUCCUCCUGAUAAAACCUCUGCUGUUGCCAAGCUUCAGUCUCUUAUUUCUCUUACUUCACAGCAACUCCAGAAAUUGCCCACCUGACUCCUUCAUUUUUGUUUGCUGUGUGAAUGCUUUCCCAACUUCUCGUACAAUUAUUUGGCUUAAUCUACUUGGUGAUGUGGGAACAAGAGGUAGAGAACAGAGGAAAUGGGAGUUGCAGCGAGCCAUCAACGUUUCCAAUAGUUGAGUGUGAUCUUUAUCAAUGCAGUGUGUGCCGUGUUCUUCUCACUUGCUUUUAGCUUAUUAGUGGUUUCGACGUGAGAAUCAGACAUUGAGUUAACUUUGGAAUUGUUCUGUAUAUGGAACUUAAAUGAAAUGAUGGAUCCAUUUGGAUGUAUAGUUUUGUAUCGUGGUCAUGAGUCUAUAUCAUUUAAUAUUUGUUGUGAUGUAUCAUUGCUAGCAGCUGUCUGUUGUAAAAUUCCUUUAUACCCAAAUCUUUUGUGUUGAGAUAUGUAUUUUCUACCACCUUCAGUAGAGAUGUUUUCAUUUGCACAGUGAAAUUGUAUGUCUGAGUAUGUUUCAAUGUUU